rnacentral:rRNA from 1 species
AUUGAACGCUGGCGGCAUGCUUUACACAUGCAAGUCGAACGGUAACAGGCCUUCGGGUGCUGACGAGUGGCGAACGGGUGAGUAAUGCAUCGGAACGUACCCAGAGGUGGGGGAUAACGCAGCGAAAGCUGUGCUAAUACCGCAUGUGAUCUGAGGAUGAAAGCGGGGGACCGAGCAGCAAUGUUUGGCCUCGCGCCUUUGGAGCGGCCGAUGUCGGAUUAGCUAGUUGGUGGGGUAAAGGCCUACCAAGGCGACGAUCCGUAGCUGGUCUGAGAGGACGACCAGCCAAACUGGGACUGAGGCACGGCCCAGACUCCUACGGGAGGCAGCAGUGGGGAAUUUUGGACAAUGGGCGCAAGCCUGAUCCAGCAAUGCCGCGUGCGGGAAGAAGGCCUUCGGGUUGUAAACCGCUUUUGGCAGGAACGAAACGGUGUCCGCUAAUACCGGGCGCUAAUGACGGUACCUGCAGAAUAAGCACCGGCUAACUACGUG